GCUCCGUGCCCGAGGAGUAGCCUGCACACUUCCAGCUUUCCUCUUCCUGCAGCAGCUGUCAGGGCUAGAGAAAGCAUUGGCACCAACAUCAGCUCUUGGCUUAUUUGGCUUUUGGACACAUGCACAAUAGCCUCACCAGUCAAUGCCAACAAGUAUUAAAAAAUGAGUCAAUGUGUGACUUAUGCAAGAAUCAGCAAAGGACUUGUCUUCCAGCUUCUAAAGCCUACUAACUUCCAUUUUCUUCUAACAAGUGAGUCAAAUAGUGAAUUUCCUGUUACUCAUUUUUAUCAUUUUCAAACACAGUCAAAUAGAACUUUUUUUUAAAAUUCGAAUGAAUGCUGAAAGUAAAGGAAAUUACAACCACUACAGGAAGAAGUAAAUUUUUCUUUUUUAGCACUUAUCUUACCCAUUCCCUCCUCAGUUGAUGAAACUGCACUGCGUAACAUUAUAACAACUGUUAAGAGCUGAACAACUGGAAAGUAACUGUUAUGGAUAUCAAUAUUACAAGCAAAAGAGUCAAGUCUUGUUCAAAAAUCCCCCUUUUAGGGAGUUCACUUCCUCAGUGAGUGAACAUUCUCAAUGUAUUAUGCAAGGAUUUCAAUAAAAAACACUGACAGGAAAAUACCGAAGAACAAAAUUAGUUUAAAAACAGAUAUAAGGCUUUUGGAAAUCUGCUGGAUUUGCAACAAGGGUUCCUACACGUGUAGGAACAAAGCACAUCUGCUUCUCUAGGAUGUGAGAGGCCACUGACCAUCACCCCAGUGCUGCUCCCCCACCCCUGGCUGUUUCCACGGAAUGGAAAUGCCACUCACAAGACACAACCAGGGAACUGCAGUGCAGGCAUUACAGCCUGCCUUAAAAACUACAUUUGGCCUUUCCCAGAUGUCCAAAGGCAGGUCUCUCCUUCUACUGCCUAAUCAGAACAAAUGAGGCUAUGGCCCAGCAUUUCCUGAAAACUAAUGAUAUUUAAACAAAGGUUCUCAGAUAGAGGAUCCCAUAAAAUUCCACACUAAAACUUAAGCACUGUAUUUCCACAAUUUUCCAUUUAGUUAAAAAGUCAGUAAUUUACAGUAAUUUUAAUAUAAAAUAGCCCUUCAAUAUGUGAGAUGCAUAGAUUCAGCAAGUUAGAACCAUACUUAUAAAGUGCAUUUUAUUAUUAAAACUGGUAUUUUCCAUUAUUUUUAUUAUGGAGAAUUACAUUUAAAAAGUAAGAUAAAAAUUAAAACCUCUUUAUUCUUAAAUUAGCAAUGCUAAUUAUGAAACACACAAGAAGGGAAAUACCUGUUUCUCCCCACAAGGCAUCAGUGUCAUUGAUGUCCAUGUCAUGGUCUUUUUCAACUGUCAGGAUGUAGCGAACCACCUGCCAAAAACAGUGAGCAGAGAUGUGCUGAGCCACAAGAGCAUCAGUUGUCACUCAUGUGAUACAAGGGAGAAAAUGAUGUAAAACAAGUGAGAGUGCUUCUUUCUCAAUGCAUAUAAUCAAUAGAAAAGAAAAUCAGUAUUACUCAAAACAAAUUCAGUAGGACUGAAUGACUUUAAGACAAGUGAAUGCUAUUGAAAACAGUUUAAAAAAAGCCCAGUGCUCUUCUGUGAAUUUGUUGUUUGGCAUGACUAGGAUUUAAUGAGUUCCUAUGUGGCCUAUAUAGAACAGAAUAAUCAAAAUAAACAAUGGCAAAAAUAAAGCCUCCCAGUUCAGUGAGGAAAUUCCAGAUCAUCUAAAACAAGAGAGCAAAAAUGAGAAUAUUUGCAUACAUUUUGUGAAAUGGUGAUACCUAGGUUUUUUCCUUCCACAUUGCUUAUAGCUUACCUGUUUUUCUAAAUUUCUUCCCAGAAUGGUCUAAGCAUAUGUCAAUAAAUGGUAAUUUUUAAGGCUGAAAUAAGCUUUUAAUUAAGUUUUGCUGUGUUUCUACAAUAUUAAGGAAAUCUGUGUUUUGAAACCACCUGCUAAAAGAUCAUUAAAUGAAAACUUUUUCUCCUGACUGUUUUCAAUAGAUUUUCUAAUAGGGUACAUGGUCACUGAGGCUGCAGUCAACAGGUGAGGGAGGAGAAUCAUACUAACAAGAAGGAAAGAACAAAGGCAGGAAAAGAGAAAGGAUCUGUGUGUUUUCAGGCUGUCUGAAAACUGUUGUAUACAAUGUAUGGAAAAUCCUAGGAUUCAAAAUACUAGGACAUAAUUUAUUAAAAUUCAUGAAACACACAGAUCUUCUUUCCAGCUAGGAAUACAGCUUCUGAAUGUCUUAAAAAAUAGGGAAAGAUGGACAUUUUUCAGGUAUUUAUUUAUGAGUAAUGUGAUCUCUUUUGUUGAUAUUCAGGAGUUGACUGUUUUCAUUUAAUCAGUGGACAGCAAACAAGAAUUUUCAUGGAAGUAAAGGAAUUAUCCAUUCAUCCAAGUUAACCAUAGCUCAGAAUCCUCAAGUUUGCAUUGUAAGACAGCAAUAGCUUAUGAAUCAUAUAAGAAAUUAACUGCACAUAGAUACUUCUAUACUUGGAUCAUCUAAACAACUUCAAAGAUCAGACUCUUUAUCUUAUAGCAACUUAAAACUAGAUUUAAAAGAAGUAAAUAUUCAAACAGCUUUAUUGAAGAGAUUGUUUCCAUUUUGCUACACCACUUACUACAUAACUAAGUCCCCUUGCACAGCUGAUCUUCAUUCAAGUAUCUUUACCUACCCAUUACUUCUCUAUCAAGUAACAGUUUGCAGUUUAUUUUCCCAAUGAACAGAAGACAUACUUGUAUUACCUAAAUAUCUAAAGCAUUUUAAGUACUUCUUAUGUGUUUAUUUUUAGUGUUCCUUCCCAAAUUUCUGUCUAAAGUGACACUGAGCUGAAGUCUGUAAGUUGGCAUGUGCAUCAAGCUAAAAACUGAAGCCUGUGUGAUCGCAUGCAAUGAAAAA